rnacentral:rRNA from 1 species
AACGAACGCUGGCGGCAUGCCUAACACAUGCAAGUCGAACGAGACCUUCGGGUCUAGUGGCGCACGGGUGCGUAACGCGGGGGAACCUGCCCUUAGGUUCGGAAUAACUCCCCGAAAGGGGUGCUAAUACCGGAUAAUGUCUUCGGACCAAAGAUUUAUCGCCUUUGGAUGGGCCCGCGUUGGAUUAGCUAGUUGGUAGGGUAAAAGCCUACCAAGGCGACGAUCCAUAGCUGGUCUGAGAGGAUGAUCAGCCACACUGGGACUGAGACGCGGCCCAGACUCCUACGCGAGGCAGCAGUGGGUAAUCUUGGCCUAUGGGCGAAAGCCUGAUCCAGCUAUGCCGCGUGAGUGAUGAAGGCCUUAGGGUUGUAAAGCUCUUUUACCCGGGAUGAUAAUGACAGUACCGGGAGAAUAAGCUCCGGCUAACUCCGUG